rnacentral:rRNA from 1 species
UACAGAGGCCCCAAGCGUUGUUCGGAUUCACUGGGCGUAAAGGGUGCGUAGGCGGUCGGGUAAGUCUGAUGUGAAAUCUCACAGCUUAACUGUGAAACUGCAUUGGAUACUAUUCGGCUUGAGAGUUGGAGGGGGGACUGGAAUUCUUGGUGUAGCAGUGAAAUGCGUAGAUAUCAAGAGGAACACCAGUGGCGAAGGCGAGUCCCUGGACAACUUCUGACGCUGAGGCACGAAAGCUAGGGGAGCAAACAGG